GUGGGGAAUAUUGGACAAUGGGCGAAAGCCUGAUCCAGCCAUGCCGCGUGUGUGAAGAAGGUCUUCGGAUUGUAAAGCACUUUAAGUUGGGAGGAAGGGCAGUAAGUUAAUACCUUGCUGUUUUGACGUUACCGACAGAAUAAGCACAGGCUAACUUCGUGCCAGCAGCCGCGGUAAUACGAAGGGUGCAAGCGUUAAUCGGAAUUACUGGGCGUAAAGCGCGCGUAGGUGGUUUUGUAAGUUGGAGGUGAAAUCCCCGGGCUCAACCUGGGAACUGCCUCCAAAACUGCAUGACUAGAGUACGGUAGAGGGUAGUGGAAUUUCCUGUGUAGCGGUGAAAUGCGUAGAUAUAGGAAGGAACACCAGUGGCGAAGGCGACUACCUGGACUGAUACUGACACUGAGGUGCGAAAGCGUGGGGAGCAAACAGGAUUAGAAACCCUAGUAGUCC
rnacentral:rRNA from 1 species